AAGCUUUUCUGCUCACAGAAAAUAUUAUUUUACAUUAUUCUACUUUGCACUAUCCCAUCCCGUCCUUCUACCAAAUUCUUUCUUAGUUUACCCCACAAAACUUUGGAAUUUGUAAUGCUUAAUAUAUCCAUAGCCUUCCCUGCAUUUAUUCUCACAACACCUCUCUGCUGCGGGCUGGGAUUGGUACCCCCUAGCAGCACAAAACAAUCCAGCAAUUUGUCCACAGCAAUAAAAAUUACCCACAGCAGGAGCAAGAUGGAGCUUCUGCAUUCUCCACAGCCAGCACGAGCGAUGCAGCAGGCGGCUCUCGGUCUGCAGCCCGGGGAAUGUGUCCCCUACCUUGCUUGUAGAAGUAUGAUGUGAAGGUGAGGGAGCCCGCUCCUGGUACCCAGAAGGGCGAAUUGAGCACCAUACGCCAAGCUGGGGCACAUCCCUUGGACACAGCCACCCGGACGCCAUGAGAAAAACUGCACCAGGCUGCCCCUGCUCCUUCCUGCUUUACACUUAGCCUCCAGCAUGAAUUAGCAAAGUAUGGAUUUUUUGUUAUUUAAACAAAAGUUCUGCAGUGAGUAAAUAAGAAAGAACAUCGUGCCAAGUGACCCUUGCAUGCAUUUUAACUCCAGGAACGUAUCUGGAGUGAGUUAAGGAGCAGUCAGGUCAACAUUUAUGCCAGCAGGACUAAACCAGCAGUAACUUCUGAUCAGGAGAGGGAGGUUGAUGACACCGAGGAGCCAGCAUCAGGGCAGAAACUGCUCAAACCAGAUUAGCCGGCAGCAGGAGGGAUUGCCGGCCUGCAUGCCCAGCUCCAAGCAGCGCCCUAGCUCAGAUGAGUAUGUGCAGAUCAGUGCUGCAUCGUGGAACACGUACUCUUAUCUCCUGGCAUGCAUCCCCUGACGAAUCAGCCUGAGGUCCUGAGCAGCACCCACUUGCACAGCACUGGUGUUGCUGCUUUGAAGGGCUGCCAGAAAGCCCUGGAGGCCUCCACACCCCACAGCUAUGGUUAGCUGUGGUGACACCAGCGGAUGGAAGUCACCUUCAAUGACUGGAUGCAAGACAGCCUUGCAGGGUGCAGCUGCAAUAUCUUCUCAGCCUCAUCUAGCUUUCCAAGCAGCAGGAUCUAGCUUCUCAUCUGCCUCUCCUUUGCAAACAGACCUAUUCCUUUUUUCAAGCAAGAGCAAGAGCCACCAGAGCUAGCAGAUGUCUAUUUUCUUUCAUGGUCAGCAUUUCUCCAGGCUUAGGUCUUAUCCUCUCUCAACAUGACAGAACACGGCUGCCUCUCCUACUUCUCCACCUCCUCUGCAACAGCUUCAUCCUGGCAUCACGAUUUCCUGCCAGCCUUGGGAAAAGCACCCUGUGUCCCCUA
rnacentral:lncRNA from 1 species